CUGAUCGCCCAGAUGGGGAUCGGUGACAAGGCGGGACGCCGUUCCUGCGGUGCUUCCGUCGUCUGUACCCAUGUUGCUCAAAGGAGGAUAUGGCUAUGGCAA
rfam:Roseovarius pacificus strain DSM 29589 genome assembly, contig: Ga0131109_102